CACUUAGCGUAAGCUAGGUAUCUUGUACUUGUACAAGAAGCGAACGAGGGGAAGUGAAACAUCUCAGUACCCUUAGGAAAAGACAUCAAAUGAGAUUCCCCUAGUAGCGGCGAGCGAACGGGGAGGAGCCGACGGAUUUAUAUGUAGAAGAACAGUUUGGGAAGACUGGCCGUAGUGGGUGAUAGCCCCGUAUUCGAAACAUAUAAUGAUGCAUAUUAAGUAGUGCGGGACACGAGAAAUCCUGUAUGAAGAUGGGGGGACCAUCCUCCAAGGCUAAAUACUCCUGACUGACCGAUAGUGAACCAGUACCGUGAGGGAAAGGCGAAAAGAACCCCUGUGAGGGGAGUGAAAUAGAACCUGAAACCGUGUGCGUACAAGCAGUGGGAGCCCCCUUGAGGGGUGACCGCGUACCUUUUGUAUAAUGGGUCAGCGACUUAUAUUCUGUAGCAAGGUUAACCGUUUAGGGGAGCCGUAGGGAAACCGAGUCUUAAUAGGGCGUCUAGUUGCAGGGUAUAGACCCGAAACCGAGUGAUCUAUCCAUGAGCAGGUUGAAAGUGCCGUAACAGGCACCGGAGGACCGAACCCACUGUCGUUGAAAAGCCAGGGGAUGACUUGUGGAUAGGGGUGAAAGGCUAAUCAAACUCGGUGAUAGCUGGUUCUCCCCGAAAGCUAUUUAGGUAGCGCCUCGGACGAAUACCAUUGGGGGUAGAGCACUGUUUCGGCUAGGGGGUCAUACCGACUUACCAAACCGAUGCAAACUCCGAAUACCGAUGAGUAAUAUCCGGGAGACACACGGCGGGUGCUAACGUCCGUCGUGGAGAGGGAAACAACCCAGACCGCCAGCUAAGGCCCCAAAUUCCUAGUUAAGUGGGAAACGAGGUGGGAAGGCAUAGACAGCUAGGAGGUUGGCUUAGAAGCAGCCAUCCUUUAAAGAAAGCGUAAUAGCUCACUAGUCGAGUCGGCCCGCGCGGAAGAUGUAACGGGGCUCAAACUAGGAGCCGAAGCUGCGGAUUUGAACAUGUUUCAAGUGGUAGGGGAGCGUUGUGUAAGCCUGUGAAGGUGUAUCGUAAGGUAUGCUGGAGGUAUCACAAGAGCGAAUGCUGACGUGAGUAACGAUAAUGCGAGUGAAAAGCUCGCACGCCGGARGAUCAAGGGUUCCAGUCCAACGUUAAUCGGGGCUGGGUGAGUCGACCCCUAAGGCGAGGCCGAAAGGCGUAGUCGAUGGGAAAUCGGUUAAUAUUCCGAUACUUGUUUAUGAUGCGAUGGAGGGACGGAGAAGGUUAUGCCAGCCUGGCGAUGGUUGUCCAGGUGGAAGGAUGUAGGUUUAUAGCUUAGGUAAAUCCGGGCUAUUUUAUACUGAGAUCUGAUAGCAAGCUGUACUUGUACAGCGAAGUGGCAAAUACCAUGCUUCCAGGAAAAGCUUCUAAGCGAUAGUCAUAAACGAAUCGUACCCUAAACCGACACAGGUGAUCAGGUAGAGAAUACCAAGGCGCUUGAGAGAACUCUGCUGAAGGAACUAGGCAAAAUGGUACCGUAACUUCGGGAGAAGGUACGCUGCUGGAGGUGAAGGACUUGCUCCGUAAGCUUCUAGCAGUCGCAGAUACCAGGCUGCUGCAACUGUUUAUUAAAAACACAGCACUCUGCAAACACGAAAGUGGACGUAUAGGGUGUGAUGCCUGCCCGGUGCUGGAAGGUUAAUUGAUGGGGUUAGCGUAUGCGAAGCUCUUGAUCGAAGCCCCAGUAAACGGCGGCCGUAACUAUAACGGUCCUAAGGUAGCGAAAUUCCUUGUCGGGUAAGUUCCGACCUGCACGAAUGGCAUAAUGAUGGCAGCGCUGUCUCCAGCAGAGACUCAGUGAAAUCGAAAUCGCAGUGAAGAUGCUGUGUACCCGCGGCUAGACGGAAAGACCCCGUGAACCUUUACUACAGCUUUACAUUGAACUUUGACCUGACUUGUGCAGGAUAGGUGGGAGGCUUUGAAGCCGACACGCUAGUGUUGGUGGAGCCAUCCUUGAAAUACCACCCUGGUCAUGUCGGGGUUCUAACUCAGGUAUAACAAUACCGAGGACAAUGUAUGGUGGGU
rnacentral:rRNA from 1 species